rnacentral:rRNA from 1 species
CCUAUAAGACUGGGAUAACUUCGGGAAACCGGAGCUAAUGCCGGAUAACAUUUGGAACCGCAUGGUUCUAAAGUGAAAGAUGGUUUUGCUAUCACUUAUAGAUGGACCCGCGCCGUAUUAGCUAGUUGGUAAGGUAACGGCUUACCAAGGCAACGAUACGUAGCCGACCUGAGAGGGUGAUCGGCCACACUGGAACUGAGACACGGUCCAGACUCCUACGGGAGGCAGCAGUAGGGAAUCUUCCGCAAUGGACGAAAGUCUGACGGAGCAACGCCGCGUGAGUGAUGAAGGUUUUCGGAUCGUAAAACUCUGUUAUUAGGGAAGAACAAAUGUGUAAGUAACUGUGCACAUCUUGACGGUACCUAAUCAGAAAGCCACGGCUAACUACGUGCCAGCAGCCGCGGUAAUACGUAGGUGGCAAGCGUUAUCCGGAAUUAUUGGGCGUAAAGCGCGCGUAGGCGGUUUCUUAAGUCUGAUGUGAAAGCCCACGGCUCAACCGUGGAGGGUCAUUGGAAACUGGGAAACUUGAGUACAGAAGAGGAAAGUGGAAUUCCAUGUGUAGCGGUGAAAUGCGCAGAGAUAUGGAGGAACACCAGUGGCGAAGGCGACUUUCUGGUCUGUAACUGACGCUGAUGUGCGAAAGCGUGGGGAUCAAACAGGAUUAGAUACCCUGGUAGUCCACGCCGUAAACGAUGAGUGCUAAGUGUUAGGGGGUUUCCGCCCCUUAGUGCUGCAGCUAACGCAUUAAGCACUCCGCCUGGGGAGUACGACCGCAAGGUUGAAACUCAAA